rnacentral:rRNA from 1 species
AGGCGACGAUCAGUAGCCGACCUGAGAGGGUGAACGGCCACAUUGGAACUGAGACACGGUCCAAACUCCUACGGGAGGCAGCAGUGGGGAAUAUUGCACAAUGGGCGAAAGCCUGAUGCAGCAACGCCGCGUGAAGGAAGAAGGCCUUCGGGUCGUAAACUUCUGUCCUUGGGGAAGAAGAACUGACGGUACCCAAGGAGGAAGCCCCGGCUAACUACGUGCCAGCAGCCGCGGUAAUACGUAGGGGGCAAGCGUUAUCCGGAAUUAUUGGGCGUAAAGAGUACGUAGGUGGCAACCUAAGCGCAGGGUUUAAGGCAAUGGCUCAACCAUUGUUCGCCCUGCGAACUGGGAUGCUUGAGUGCAGGAGAGGAAAGCGGAAUUCCUAGUGUAGCGGUGAAAUGCGUAGAUAUUAGGAGGAACACCAGUGGCGAAGGCGGCUUUCUGGACUGUAACUGACACUGAGGUACGAAAGCGUGGGGAGCAAACAGGAUUAGAUACCCUGGUAGUCCACGCCGUAAACGAUGAGCACUAGGUGUCGGGGUCGCAAGACUUCG